CCUACGGGGUGCUGCAGUGAGGAAUAUUGGUCAAUGUGCGCGAGCCUGAACCAGCCAAGUAGCGUGAAGGAUGCCUGCCCUACGGGUUGUAAACUUCUUUUAUAACGGAGUAAAGUUAGGCACGUGUGCCUUUUUUUCUUUACUUUAUUAAGAAGGAUCUGCUAACUCCGUGCGAGCAGCCGCGGUACUACGGAGGAUCCGAGCGUUAUCCGGAUUUGUUGGGUUUAAAGGGAGCGUAGAUGGGUUGUUAAGUCAGUUGUGAAAGUUUGCGGCUCAACCGUAAAAUUGCAAUUGAUACUGGCAGUCUUGAGUACAGUUGAGGUAGGCGGAAGUCGUGGUGUAGCGGUGAAAUGCUUAGAUAUAACGAAGAACUCCGAUUGCGAAGGCAGCUUACUAAACUGCCACUGACAUUGAUGCUCGAAAGUGUGGGUAUCAAACAGGAUUAGAUACCCCAGUAGUC
rnacentral:rRNA from 1 species